rnacentral:lncRNA from 1 species
UUCUGUUGCCCUUCUCUCGAUUCGUUCCAGCACCUCAGUGUUCUUCCUGAGCUCAGGGGCCCAGAACUGGACACAGCAUUCAAGGUGUGGCCUCACCAGUGGCAAUGCCGACCCCUCGGUGCUGUCAGGGGUCCCUCCUGCACAGACACAGAGCUCUCCCCAACACCCCAUCACCCCUGUAACCCCUGGCUCCUGUACCCCGGAGACACAGGUGGUAACAGGGUACAAAUAACUGAGGGAAUAUUUGAUGGGGUUUACUUGCUUUUGUGACAAAAGUGGUGGUGUCUUCUUGUCUCAGGGGUGCUCCUGGCAGCCGGCUGUGGCAGAGGUGGUGAGGACAAGUCCAAUUCGUCUUUGGAGGAAAACCGUGAAGCAUGUGAUAAGGUAUUCUCCCCAGCAAUUCUAUCUGUAGCUGUCUCCUGCACAUGGCAACUUGACCAAAGGAACUGCAGUGACAAAAGCACAAAAACAUCCUGUGAAAAGGCAGGUCAGAAAGUCCUGGAAUGACAUGGUGAGCAAAGCAGGGAGGAAAAUCUGUCAGGGAAUCUUAAGUAAUCAGCUGGUCAUGCAAUGACUGAAUCAUUGAGCCAGGCUGUGAAUGAGGUAGACUGGCACCAUAACAUCUAAGAAAAGGGCUGUAAUAUUGUGUUCCCCCCUGUAAUUAGCAAAUUCUAGUUUGUGCAUUAAGAAAGACAGGUGGUCAGUUGCUGAUAUUGCUCUAUGAAAGACCUUCCCUGCUCCCUCCCAGCCUGCCCUUUAAAUACCUGGUGCUGCUGCUUUCCAAGACUUAAAAUGUGUCUAUAAUUCACUUAGGACAGCUCCCAGGGCCUCACAGUAGCGAUGCCAAGUCAGACCUUCAAAUGUUUAAUGUUUUUUAACUACUAUUUUUGUGUUGCUGGUGUGAAAACAUAAUUAUUUUUACAUCAGAAUACUGCAGGGAGCUAUCAAAACCAUGGAGCUUUUGGAGAAUGCCUGCACCAUGUUAGCUGCAUUAGACCUAUCACAAAAAGUGGUAGAAAUGUCUGUUAAACUUUCAAACAUAAAUGAAUAAAAUGAAUUAGAGUGCUAAGUGGAAAAAUACU